AAUGAAUAAAUCUGGACCGUUGAUUCAUGCAGAUUUUUCAUAUGUUAAAUAAUAAAAUCCAUAUAAAUUAAGGCCCAAAUAGCAUUUGAGGAUCAAGCCAUUGUAGCAGUGAGUGUCCUGCACUUCUGAUCGCAGAAGAAUGCUUGUACACAAAACAUUGAAUUCAAUUCAUUACAAUUUCUAUAGAUAUUGAAUUUACAAGCACCUCAGCUGAGAAUGCUUGCAUUAAAAAAGAAAUACUGCUUAGCAGAGAAUGCUGCACUGAUAAAUGAAAUAUAUGCUCUGUUUCUUGCAGGUAUGCAGACCCUACAAACCCUGACUCGUAUGAUACUGAAAAUCAAAAUGGGCUCAUCAUCUAAAACAGCUGAGCGAUUAUGAAUGGUUAAGUACCGCUCCAGAGUUUGCAUGGGAAGAAAACCAUGCACCAACUCUUUUGGGAGGUACCCUUAAGUUUCCUUUGAGUUGCAUACAGUUCAGUAGGCUCCUUCAACAACAUUAUAGACAUGAUACGUUCAGAAUGAGUCGCGUUGCAGUCGUACAGGAGCACUCAGGUGCCAGGAAAAGUGCUGCCUGUGCUCGAAAGGAUUAUGAAGGCACAAACAACGGAUAGUGAAAACACAGAUACCCAAGUAUUUUCAGUGUACAUUUCCAUUGCAUCUGUGAAGGAAAACCGAGCUCGGUUUUCAGCCCAGUUACGAAGUCGGUCCGCCUCAGCUGCAUAUAAUGCCCUUCCCUGCACAAUAAACAGGAAUAAAUUCUUGAAGAAAAGCAGCAUUAACUUACUAGCAGGAGAAAAUGACUCCAAGAUUUGUGCAUGACCAAAAAUCUUCACAGAGACAUACAAACACAAAGGCAUUUCUCUUUCAAGAAAAGAGGUGCUUCAAUCCAUGAAAACUCCAAUUUCAUAAUGAAUAAUCUUAAUAACUAGAACGUUAUGAAUUGGAAAUCCAACUUUUACCCCAAGUUCAGCUAGAGACAUAAGUAAGUUGAGGCUAUGGUGCUAAGUUGUUCAGUAGCUAAAUCUGCAGACCACACCAUUUUUCAGCGGGGUUUCGUAACUAGGGAUAAGAAGUUCAUUCUGAACUAUAGGUUGAAUUGUUUACCUCAUCAGUUUUGAUAGACAAGGAAUUAUUCAAGAGUCAAGUUGUCCAUUCAAUUAAUGUAAUUAGAGGUAAAGCAUUUUUCCUUGCCUACCUGGAAUACUGCUAACCACUUGCAGAUAUCUGUAAAUUCCUUUAGGAUAUCAAGAUUACCUGGGCAUCAAACCAGCGACCUCGCCGCAACCAUGCAGUGACCAAAGCAAGUAAUAUCCUAGGAGGGGUCAAGUAAUUGAUGGCCUUCCCUGAACCCUUCACAACCCGCAUCCGUGGAACUAAAGUUCUAGCAACUGUUUCUGGAAGCUCACAAAUGAUAUUAAACAUUUGUUUAUUUUUUAGAGUUGAUCCACUCAAUAGCAAAUCUGUAAGGACCAUGCCUGGAGAUGCUGUAUGUACUCCAACUUUAGAUCGCCUACACUCCUUCAGAAGUGAUGAUUGGAGUUGCCUAAGACCACAUUUUGUUGAUCCAUAAACAG
rnacentral:misc_RNA from 1 species